rnacentral:rRNA from 1 species
GCGGCUUAAUAAGUCAGUGGUGAAAGCCCUACGCUUACCGUAGGAACGGCCAUUGAUACUGUUAGGCUUGAAUUAUUAGGAAGUAACUAGAAUAUGUAGUGUAGCGGUGAAAUGCUUAGAGAUUACAUGGAAUACCAAUUGCGAAGGCAGGUUACUACUAAUGGAUUGACGCUGAUGGACGAAAGCGUGGGUAGCGAACAGGAUUAGAUACCCUGGUAGUCCACGCCGUAAACGAUGGAUACUAGCUGUUGGGAGCAAUCUCAGUGGCUAAGCGAAAGUGAUAAGUAUCCCACCUGGGGAGUACGUUCGCAAGAAUGAAACUCAAAGGAAUUGACGGGGGCCCGCACAAGCGGUGGAGCAUGUGGUUUAAUUCGAUGAUACGCGAGGAACCUUACCAAGGCUUAAAUGUAGAUUGACCGUUUUGGAAACAGAACUUUCGCAAGACAAUUUACAAGGUGCUGCAUGGUUGUCGUCAGCUCGUGCCGUGAGGUGUCAGGUUAAGUCCUAUAACGAGCGCAACCCCUGUUGUUAGUUGCCAGCGAGUCAAGUCGGGAACUCUAACAAGACUGCCAGUGCAAACUGUGAGGAAGGUGGGGAUGACGUCAAAUCAUCACGGCCCUUACGCCUUUGGGCUACACACGUGCUACAAUGGACGGUACA